UUCCACCCCCUCCCCCCUCCCUCCCCCCACAACCCCCAGUACACUUUUCCCCUCUCGUUCCCACAGCAACGUUACAAUCAGAAAAAAAUAAGUUUCGGGGAGCGGGAUUUGGGGGGGUACGGGUAAAAACAGUCAAAUCACAAUAGGAAUUUUUCAAAAUAGGUUAUUCCACUUAGUCAUCGUCUUCUCCCUCAUCUUCAGGUUCUCGUUUUCGCUUCUGACCCCUUUCUUCUUCUGGAAAAGUAAGGAAAAGGCAUUCAGAUUAAACACGGAUCCUGCCUCCUACGCAACCCCCCCGCUGGGAAAGCAGGGGACCGUACGUCUAGGACGCUUUGCCAACCCUGGCAAACCAAGGCCAGGUCCUCAGGACCCAGGUCAUCUACUGUCAACUGAGGGGGCCAGCCUGCUACCCGCGGAGAGUAAAAACGCUGCCGUACCACCAAGCUCCUCUUCAUCUUCCUCAUCGUCUACUUCCCCAUCGUUAUAACCUUCCUCAUCCUCCUAGGAGAGAAGAUGGACACCGGACAUUAGGAACGCCCCGACCAUGGGACACGUGGAGGAUGCCACUUUCCCUGACACCGAGCUCAGAAAGGGCCAGCUGCAAGGCUUGCCUCUCCCAGACCAACCCAGUAACAGGCCCUGAAGUGGGUUCAAUUCCCAGCCAGGGCUCCCGGCUGCCGAGGCGGAUCACUGAGGCAGUUAGUGGGACUGACUCAGAGGCAGCAGGUGGGAAUGGGGACAAGAACAAACUGGUGGUGAGCUGGCCCUUCCCUCCCACAGCACAGGCCCGGGGCCUGGCACCAGAGGUGUGGGGCCCACGACUCUCCCACGCCCAUCCAGGCCCACAGCCUGGAUGCUCUAAUGUGACUGAACGCAUCCUAAAGUAACCCAAAAGAUAAGCAUCCUAAAAUGAUCCCAAAGGUAAGCCCUCCUCCCAAGUAUUACGAAGACAAAAGAUCUCUCGUGGAGGCUGAGAUGGGAGAGAAAAUGCUGGAUCAGAGAACCAAGUUACAGGCCUGGGACAGCUGAGA